rnacentral:rRNA from 1 species
AUGCACGCUGGCGGCGUGCCUAAUACAUGCAAGUCGAGCGAACAGAUAAGGAGCUUGCUCCUUUGACGUUAGCGGCGGACGGGUGAGUAACACGUGGGUAACCUACCUAUAAGACUGGGAUAACUUCGGGAAACCGGAGCUAAUACCGGAUAACAUUUGGAACCGCAUGGUUCUAAAGUGAAAGAUGGUUUUGCUAUCACUUAUAGAUGGACCCGCGCCGUAUUAGCUAGUUGGUAAGGUAACGGCUUACCAAGGCAACGAUACGUAGCCGACCUGAGAGGGUGAUCGGCCACACUGGAACUGAGACACGGUCCAGACUCCUACGGGAGGCAGCAGUAGGGAAUCUUCCGCAAUGGGCGAAAGCCUGACGGAGCAACGCCGCGUGAGUGAUGAAGGGUUUCGGCUCGUAAAACUCUGUUAUUAGGGAAGAACAAACGUGUAAGUAACUGUGCACGUCUUGACGGUACCUAAUCAGAAAGCCACGGCUAACUACGUG